rnacentral:misc_RNA from 1 species
UAGAGUUUUUAACUCCCAACCCGUGUGAACUAUACCUAUGUUUUUGCUGUACUGUUGCUUUUGGCCGGUGGUUUCCUGGCAACAGGGGCCCGCAAGGCUGUCAGGCGCUCUUUCGGGGCGUCUCGGCACCGGCCAAAGGUAGCUGUUUCGGCGGUUUAUUUAAACGCUUGCUUGCAAUGGCUCGUCUGAGCACUAAAGAAAAGACAAAUAGUCA